GCAAAAGGGUUACAACUUACAACAACUGUCACCGAUCAAGUUCUACAGUUGGACAUGUUGAUGUUGUUGCCUGCUGUCAGCUGUGGAUAGAAAAAAAUUGAUUCGAGUACUUUUUCAAGUUUUUUUGUCAAAAUCUUUCACUGAAUACGCUUUGGUUGUCAAAAUCUUUCACUGAAUACGCUUUGGUAGUUGGUACUUGGUAGAGAAGAAGAAUUGAAGGGAGAGAAGGGAAAUGGUUUGGGCUGGGCUUGGUGGGCUGGGUAAUAAGGUUGCAUUGUCAGGGGAUCUGUAAGGUUGCAUUGUCAGGCGAUCGACCUUAAUUAAAUGUGUACAAAUUGUCUGACCUUUUAUUCUUUUCUGCUGGUAAAGGUAUGGAAGAGGGAAAUGGAAGUGCAUCUUGGACAACUACCAUGAAAUAUUUGAAAAUAGAAAUGAGGUAUAAUUUGUAUAUUAUUUACAUUUACAAAUUUAUCUUGGAUACCCUUGAAUAUAUGAAAGAUGAAAUUGUACAGGUUGAUUUAAAGGACAAGUGGCGAAAUUUGACAAAAUAGUUGAAUCCACACACGGUUGAUGGGGACCUUUCAAUUCCUGAGGUUUGAAAAAUGCUCCUUUACCAAUAUGCUAACAGCAUGUAUGAGAUGAUAAUUGUUAAAAGUCCCUUACCGUAUUACUCUUUUUGUAGGGGGGGGGGGGGGGGGGGGAAAGACGCUGUUCCUGGCUUUUGAUUGGUUCAGUCUCUGUCCAUGCAGUUGAAGUUUAGCAAGUUCUUAAAAGCGUCUCAGUGGUAUAAACUUGGUAAACAUCAAUAUCGUAUUUUACCUACACACCAUCGGCAGACUCCAAUUUACUCCGACACUCCUGAGUGACAAAUCCCCGGUUGGUAUAAACAUCAAUACCUUUGUUGAGUAAAAUCGUGUAGGCUCUUU
rnacentral:lncRNA from 1 species